UUGUAAUCGUAGCGUAUCGGCAGAAAUACUGUCAAUAACCUUUGACAUGUGUCACUGCUUACGUGUCAUUCGGCAUUCAUGAUAUAUUCAGCGAGCACUAUGUGUUAACGUGAUUUUUGUAUUUAACCAGAUUUGUAUUGUAUUGUGUGUCGCUGAAUUCUUAAUUUCUCACAUACAAGAGAAUUGUGCUUGCAGCAGCUUUCUGAUGGAGCUGCAGGCAUUAGUAGUGCUGGGUGGUGUGGGGCUGGUGGGAGUUGCUGUGCUACUGCUCAUGGGGCUCUUCUCCUCGUCGGGGACCAGCUAUGAGGAAGCCAUAGCUCAGCAGAGGCGAGCGACCAGUGAACUUCUGGCUUUAGCUGACAAUAAGAACAAGUCUAAAAAGACCAACAAGAAGGCUAAUAAAAAGUUAGCAAAGAAAGAAAAGAAAGAAGCAGCUGCUGUCACAGGUAGUGAGCCUGAGAGUGAGGCGCCGGCCGAAAGUGGUGUGGAAGACGAGUCCGCCACAUCAAAGCCUCAUGUGGAAUUCAGCUCUACUGUACUUGUGGAAGCACCCACAGACAACCCACCUAACAUUGCUGUGAAGAUUCGCAAACGCGGCAAGGAUCCUAAAAUUAAGCCGAUUUUAAUAAAUAAAGAGGAUCCAAGCUGCGUUAGCGAUCCGAGCGCGGCGGCCACCCCCUGUGCAGAUGUUUCUAACCAUUUUGAGGAAAUGCAUCCCAAGGAUGAGUUCGAGUUGUUGCAAUCUUCAUUAGAAAAAGUAUCAGAGAAAAAAGACGAUGUCGCAGAGAAGAAAGAAGGCAAACCGUCGAAGCAGUCGAAGGGCGCCAAGGCUGCACAUAAGCAAACUUCAGAACCUUUAAAGGAGGAAUCUUCAUCUGAAAAACAAAUCAUCAGCGAGGCACCUCUUGAACAACGCAAAGGAAAGAAAGGCGAGAAGAAGGUAGUUUCAGAGGCGUCGGAGGUAGAAGAGGUGGUGCCGCCUCUCAACGCGCCGCAGCCGAGCGAGCUCACCACCGACAAGCUGCUGCGGCAGGCGCUGCAGCCCGUCGCGCCCACUCCCUCCCCGCCCACCAAGUCUAAGAAGAAGAAGGCUGACCAGGACGUGCUCUCACUUCUGGGCGGCGAAGGCAGCGUGGCGUUCGGCGACCUGCUGCGAGUGGUGCGCGCCGCCACGCUCUCGCGCGACGAGAUCCAGGGCCUGACCGACGCGCUGCUCAACAAGCACCACGACCCUCUGCCCGCGCAUUCCGAGUGGACCGAGGGUCCUAAUGAUCCAAUGCAAAAGUUGAAGAAGCAGUUGGCUGAUAAAGAAAAAUCUCUGACUGACGAGUUGGAAGCCUCAAAAGCUCUCAAGGCCAAAGUUCAAGAGCUCCGUGCUAACCUGAACGCGGAGCGCGCGGCGGCGAGCACGGCGCGCGCCGAGCUGCACACGCAGCAGACGCGCCUGCAGCGCCUGUUGGAGGAGCACCACGCGCUCGUGCUGGAGAAGAACACGCUUAUGGGACAAAUCAGUGAAAGUGAAGCUCAAGUUUCGCGGAUGGAUUUACUUAUUCAAAGGCUUUCUGAGUCGGAGGUAGCGCUGCGCGCGGAGCUGACGGCGUGCGUGGUGGAGGCGGGGCAGACGCGCGACGACGCCGUGCUGGCGCACCAGCACAACGCCGAGCUGGCGCAGCAGCUGCAGGAGGCGACGCUGGCGCUGGCCGAGCUGGAGCAGCAGCGCCAGUUCGCCGCGCACAGCGACCAGCGCGCGCAGCAGGAGCUGCGGCAGACGCAGGCGCGCCUCGCGGGAUUCAAUGAACUCCAAAACGAUUUGCAACGUAUGACCGCCAGAGCGCAGGCUGCCGAAAGUAACAUAGAAAAGCUUAAUGAGGAAAUCCAAAAACAAAAGGACGAGCUAACUAAGGAGGUGGCAUCUCUCAGAGAACAGUUGGCCGAACGCGAGGCUGAGCUCGCUGAACUGAAGCAACUGAAGGCGGCGCCCGCACAAAAUGGACUGCCUGCCAAUACCAUUAACGACGAGCACAAGGCAGCGGAGCUUGCAAAGGUGGAAAGCACCGUGGAGUCCCUAAGGAACGAGCUGGUCUCUGCACAGGAGAGCAUCUCUGAGCAGAAGAACCAGGUCGCCAGUCUUCAGGAACAGCUGCUGCAGUACCGGGACAAGAACAAUGAGUUGCGAACUAAAAACUGGAAAGUAGUGGAGGCGUUACAAACCGCCGAAAAGGCUCUCGCGACAAGAGUGGCGCCCGCGAUGCCGGCCCGAGACGCGCUUGCCGAGGCAGUAGUCAAAGCUCAAGAACAACAUUUCAUAGAAGUAGCGAACGUUCUACGCGCAGUAUGCCCCACAGCUGCACCGAACUCAUCUACAGGACAAGAGUGGCUACAAGCUUUUGCUGAGAACCUCAAACAGGAACUCUCAAAGAAAGAGAAUGAGAAGCAACUAGUCGAAAAGGACUUCGCAUCGAAACUGUUACAAAAGGAAAACGAGAGAAAGCAAAUAGAAAUCGAAAUGCAGAAAAAACUUCAAGAAAAGGAACAGGCAGUGAAAGAACUCGAGAACAAAAUGCAACAACAGUUAAAAGACAAGGAGUUAGCGUGUAAAACGAUUGAAAGCGAGUUACAAAAGAAGCUGCAAGAUGAACUGGCCGCAAAGAAACAGUCUGAAAGUGAAUUACUGAAUAAACUGCAAGAAGAAUUGAAUAUAAAGAAAAAACUAGAAAGUGAAUUGCAGAAGAAAGAAGUUAAAGAGGUCACGGUUCAGGAAACAGUGGUGGACGACUCGCGGGUCAAAGAUUUGGAAAGCCAGAAUGUAUAUCUACAGAGACAAGUGGAAAAAUACAAGACCAUCAUUGAUGACACUGAGGACGUAUUGAGCCGGCUGCAGCAGAAAGUAUCCAGCGAAGAGGAUCGCUGGCAGAAGGAACUGGCCAGCAGGCAGAAUGAUCUUGAGACGCUGCGGCUGCGCACCGUGCAACAGAUGCAAAAUAAAAUAGAUUCACUGCAAGCAGAAUUACAAAAAUCACAAACAAGGAACCACAGUCACAGCUUCGCGGACGCUGAAAGAACUGCUGAGGAAAAUCUAAUGGCGGGUUUUGCCAAUCAUGACACAGAAGUACACAACGGGCCACUACAGGUGAGACUGAGGACGGGACAGCGGCAAACCUUGCAGGAUUGGGCGUCUCAAUAAAAAAAGCAAAAUUUAGUAGUAAUUUUCAUUAUACCUAUGUACGUUUACAGUUGGCUAAAGAACAUAUGAAGUUGAGCGAAAUUUAACAAACACAAAGUGCAAUGUACAACGCAGUUUAAGGCUGGAAUUUACCGUCGCGUCUCCUCAUUCACUGCCGAAUAAUCGAUAAGAUUAACCCUUACCAGGGUGUCCUGUAAAUUGUGUUUUUUCCAAAAAAAAAAACUGUGAAUUCUACAUAUUUAGAAUCGAAACACUAAAAAUCGGUGCGACACACACUGAAAUUUACACACAUCACAUUAAUUAAGGUCAGAUUUUUAAAUUAAAUGGCCCUUAACUGGACACCCUGUUAAGUGACCCCUGUUUUUAUAAGACGUGUUAAAUAUUUUUAAUAGAAAAUGCACUCAAUGAAAUGGGUGUUAAAACUUCUGUUAAAUUUCAACACUGUUGAUUGAUUGGGAUUUCCGAUUGCUAAAAACUUCCCAGCCCACUUGUAAAUAAUACCAACAAGGAAUGGUAAAAUAUAUGAAGAGAUUUAUCGGAAAACUCAUUUUUACUAUUCAAUUUUUUACUAGAAGGACUAGCUGAUUAGUGAUUAAAAUCACACAAUUAUUCGUAAAUAUCAUUUCAAUUGUGCUCAAGGGAAAUAAGUUCAUUUUUAGACUUUCGAUCCUUUCAAAUUACUGGGUAAAAUUUGUAAAAUUAUUACACCAUCUGUUUAUAGAUAUUAUAUAUUUUAAUCCAUUUUUGUUUGUGUUCUGAUCAGUUGUACUAGCAUCAUCACAUUAUAUGGCCAUAUGAUAAUUUAUUUAACCGCCUCUUUUUUUAUAAAAAAUUUAUAGGUAUGUAUAUGAUUUUAAUAUUAAUAAAUACAAUAAUUGUGUCUCAGGGUUGCGUAUGUCGGGGUAUGUGCAAAAAUAUGAUUUCAGGUGCAAAAUACAGGUAGAAAUUUUUAUUAAAGAUUUUUUUUACCGAAAAUGCGACAAGUAGAAAAAUUAUAAAGGAUGUUACAUACACCAGUUUACGUAAAUCAAGGCCUGUUGUCGUUCUCUUUCUACAAUAGCCAACGCUU
rnacentral:misc_RNA from 1 species